rnacentral:lncRNA from 1 species
GAGAAAAAUGAUGUUAUUGAAUCAUUGCACUUAGAAUUUUGUAAAUAUAUAAUGAAAGUUAAAAAAUGUACACCUAAUUGCAUUGUAUAUGGUGAACUAGGUAGAGUACCAAUGUCUGUUAAUAUUAAGGCAAGAAUGGUUGGUUUUUUUUGGAAACGUAUUGUUACUGGCAAAAAAGAGAAAAUUUCUCGUACAUUGUAUGAAAUGCUAUAUAAACUUGAUUCUGGUAAUGUAUACCACUCUAAGUGGUUGAAUUGUGUAAAAGAUAUAUUAUCUGAAUGUGGUUUUAUUAAUGCCUGGAAUAAUCAAUAUAUAGAUACAAACUGUCAGUUGUCUAAAAAUGUGAAACAGUAUUACCACAAUUUGUUUGUAAAUGAAUGGAAGGCUCAGAUAUUUAAUACGUCAAAAUGUUUAAAUUAUAGAAUGUACAAGUCUGAGUUUGGUUUUGAAGAUUAUUUAACUACAUUGCCUUUUGAUCUAAGAAUUAAUUUGUGUAAAUAUAGGUGCAGUAGUCAUAGGUUACCUAUUGAAUGUGGUAGAUUUUAUAGCAUUGAUAGAUCAGAAAGAAUAU